CCUACGGGUGGCUGCAGUGGGGAAUAUUGCACAAUGGGCGCAAGCCUGAUGCAGCCAUGCCGCGUGUGUGAAGAAGGCCUUCGGGUUGUAAAGCACUUUCAGCGGGGAGGAAGGCGUUAAGGUUAAUAACCUUGGCGAUUGACGUUACCCGCAGAAAAAGCACCGGCUAACUCCGUGCCAGCAGCCGCGGUAAUACGGAGGGUGCAAGCGUUAAUCGGAAUUACUGGGCGUAAAGCGCACGCAGGCGGUCUGUCAAGUCGGAUGUGAAAUCCCCGGGCUCAACCUGGGAACUGCAUUCGAAACUGGCAGGCUAGAGUCUUGUAGAGGGGGGUAGAAUUCCAGGUGUAGCGGUGAAAUGCGUAGAGAUCUGGAGGAAUACCGGUGGCGAAGGCGGCCCCCUGGACAAAGGCUGACGCUCAGGUGCGAAAGCGUGGGGAGCAAACAGGAUUAGAUACCCGAGUAGUC
rnacentral:rRNA from 1 species